GACGGAGGAUGCAAGCGUUAUCCGGAAUGAUUGGGCGUAAAGCGUCCGCAGGUGGCAGUUCAAGUCUGCUGUCAAAGACCGGGGCUUAACUUCGGAAAGGCAGUGGAAACUGAACAGCUAGAGUAUGGUAGGGGCAGAGGGAAUUCCUGGUGUAGCGGUGAAAUGCGUAGAUAUUGGGAGGAACACCAGUGGCGAAGGCGGCUCACUGGACCGGUACUGACGCUGAGGCGCGAAAGCGUGGGUAGCAAACAGG
rnacentral:rRNA from 1 species